GGAAUCACCCAGGAGGCUUGUUAGAAAUGCAUAUUUCUGAACUUUACCUUCAGAGAUUCUCACUCAUUAGGCCUGGGAUGUGGCUCCAGAAUCUGCCUUUUCAAGAGUGACUACUGGUUGGGAAGCUCCAAUGCAACCGACUCAUUGCUUUGAAGAUUAGCGAGGUGCACACAGUGAGAGUAAACCAGGAGACACGUGCCGUUCAGGGUUAAGAUCAGAACAUAAUGUCAAUUAAAUCCACGUGGGUUCUGAAGAAGUCUUGGGAAGAUGAUCAUUGUCCCUGAAGAUGACCAUCUGAAGAUCAUUGCUCUCCAGCCUUGCCUCAUGAUUGGAAUCAGCUGGGGAACUCUGUAAAGCAGCUCGUUCCUGGCUUUGUCUCCUAGAACAGUGGUUCCCAGCUUCAUCCGCCCCCUGGGAUCACCUAGGGAACGUUUAGCAAUCCAGACAUACAGGCCACACUGCAGACUGAAUCAAAAUCUCUAGGACUCAGGUGUGAGUAUUUUUUUGAAGCUCCCCUGUGAUUUCAAUGUGCAGUCGAGGUUUGAGUGACUGUGCUGGAGACUGAUUCCAGAAGUCAGGGGUGGUGACCAAGAAUCAGUAUUUUUAGGACGAGCUCCAGAUGAUUCUUGUGAACACAAAGUUUGGAAGUUACUAAAUUUGAUAUAUAGGGAUCUAUUUCAAAUUAUUUAAAGAACCAUCCACAUUUGACUUCAUACUAAACGGUGCAAAAAACCCUUUAGAAAUCAAAGUGAAGCAACUUGUUCCUAAUAAGAAGGAUUCCACCCCACCUUCCAAAAAAACCAAACUGGAACAUAAUGUACGUUCUACUGAGUGCAGAACAUAGAGAAGUCCUGUCUUAAACCCUGUCCAACAGGGCAGGGAGCUACUUACGAAAAUACCUCAGUAAUAUCCUACAACACAGACACUAGCAUAGCACCGUGGUCGGAGUCCAGGAAACCUUACCUGUGAUUUCUCCCAUCAUGUUCUGUGAUCAUCUCACAGAAUCAUAAGAUCUUACAUCUGAACUGGACAGCAGAGACCCCUGGGCUAGUCCAACUGCCAUGCUUGAAAGAGAAGGAAACUGAUGGACAAACAAAUGAACUGAUUUGCCUCAAGUCACACAAGGAGUUAAUGCCAGCUUUCCUGCCUCCUGACUCUCAGCCCAGGACUCUUAAAACUGCUCAACACUGUCUGUCUGCUCUUCAACACACAUAUCCCUCCUCAUUCACUUCUGAGGAGUAAAACACUGGCCAGAUAAAACUGUGCUA
rnacentral:lncRNA from 1 species